rnacentral:rRNA from 1 species
GACAGAGGGGGCAAGCGUUGCUCGGAAUCACUGGGCGUAAAGGGCGCGUAGGCGGGAUGGCAAGUCGGUCGUGAAAUCUCUCGGCUCAACCGAGAAACGUCGGCCGAUACUGCCGUUCUUGAGGGAUGCAGAGGAGACUGGAAUUCCCGGUGUAGCGGUGAAAAUGUGUAGAGAUCGGGAGGAACACCGGUGGCGAAGGCGGGCUCUCUAGUACGGUACUGACGCUGAGACGCGGAAAGCGUGGGGAGCGAACAGG